UACCGGCGGCUCGAGUGGUGGCCACUAUUACUGGGCUUAAAGCGUUCGUAGCUGGUCUGUUAAGUCUCUGGGGAAAUCUACUGGCUUAACCAAUAGGCGUUUCAGGGAUACUGGCAGACUAGGGACCGGGAGAGGUGAGAGGUACUCCAGGGGUAGGAGUGAAAUCCUGUAAUCCUUGGGGGACCACCUGUGGCGAAGGCGUCUCACCAGAACGGCUCCGACAGUGAGGGACGAAAGCUGGGGGAGCAAACCGG
rnacentral:rRNA from 1 species